rnacentral:misc_RNA from 1 species
CAGAGUUCUUUGCAACUCCCAACCCCUGUGAACCAUACCAAUUUUUUUGUUGUUGCUUCUGGCAGCGCCUCCGGGUGUCUGCCAGCGGCGACCGGCUCCAACCUUCUGUAUCACUGCGCCGUCUGAGCUUCUGAAGAAAUAAGUCA